UCCGAAUUGGUGUAGGGGUUAACAUUGCCGCCUCUCACGUGACGCGAAGGUGUCAGCAUGGUCGCGGCAGCCCGGGGUUCGAUUCCCCGAUUCGGAA